GACGAACGCUGGCGGCGUGCUUAACACAUGCAAGUCGAACGGAAAGGCCCUGCUUUUGUGGGGUGCUCGAGUGGCGAACGGGUGAGUAACACGUGAGUAACCUGCCCUUGACUUUGGGAUAACUUCAGGAAACUGGGGCUAAUAUCGGAUAGGAGCUUCUGCUGCAUGGUGGGGGUUGGAAAGUUUCGGCGGUUGGGGAUGGACUCGCGGCUUAUCGGCUUGUUGGUGGGGUAGUGGCUUACCAAGGCUUUGACGGGUAGCCGGCCUGAGAGGGUGACCGGCGACAUUGGGACUGAGAUACGGCGCAGACUCCUACGGGAGGCAGCAGGGGGGAAUAUUACACAGUGGGGGGAAGCGAGAGGCAGCAACGCCGCGUGCGGGAUGACGUCCUUCGGGUUGUAAACCGCUUUCGCCGGUGACGAAGCGUGAGUGACGGUAAUGGGUAAAGAAGCACCGGCUAACUACGUG
rnacentral:rRNA from 1 species